ACGUACACUCCUACGGGAGGCAGCAGUGGGGAAUUUUGGACAAUGGGGGCAACCCUGAUCCAGCAAUGCCGCGUGAGUGAAGAAGGCCUUCGGGUUGUAAAGCUCUUUUGUCAGGGAAGAAACGGUAGUAGCGAAUAACUAUUACUAAUGACGGCACCUGAAGAAUAAGCACCGGCUAACUACGUGCCAGCAGCCGCGGUAAUACGUAGGGUGCAAGCGUUAAUCGGAAUUACUGGGCGUAAAGCGUGCGCAGGCGGUUGUGUAAGUCAGAUGUGAAAUCCCCGGGCUCAACCUGGGAAUUGCAUUUGAGACUGCACGGCUAGAGUGUGUCAGAGGGGGGUAGAAUUCCACGUGUAGCAGUGAAAUGCGUAGAUAUGUGGAGGAAUACCGAUGGCGAAGGCAGCCCCCUGGGAUAACACUGACGCUCAUGCACGAAAGCGUGGGGAGCAAACAGGAUUAGAAACCCGUGUAGUUCCAUGA
rnacentral:rRNA from 1 species